CCGGCGGCCGGUCGGGUGGGUCCGUUAUUCCUCCUUCAUUCCCAUCCGCUGGUUCCCGGUGAAGUCCGCACCUGCGAUCCACCUGCGCACCUCUCCCGGUCCGGGGAUCCGGUGCACCGGCGUUGAUCCGUUAUGAGAGAAUCCGUUAUGGAGUUUGUUAUGGAAAUCCGUUUAAAACCUUUUCCCCCUCUUUUUUUUUUAAACGCCGGAGGUCAGUUUCGGUACCGGGGACCGGGUCGGAAGCAGAUCCCGUCAAAGCACCGCGAGUGAUCCGGUAGAUUCGCGGCAGAAUAAAUCCAGCGGCUCCGCGGUGUGAGGCGGAUGCUCCCGCGCCCCCGCGGUGCUCCGGUAACCGGAGAUCUCCGCAACUUUUGAGCCCACGGAGAGCUGCUGAUGAGGACGCUGGCGAGGAGGAUGAGGAUGAGGAGGACGGUGAAGGAUAAGCGGUUUGACAAUGGAUGGAUGGAUGGAUGGACAUCCUGAAGCAUCCAGCUCACAGCUCAGUCAGGAAGCCCGGCGCUGCGUGACGACCUCUGACCUUUGGAGGGCCGACCCCUCUGCGACUGCCUCCUCCUGUGACUUCCACUCGCCUCCUUAAAUAAAGCUUCAUCCAGAACAACUCCACCCGAAGUCCUUCAUCAAACACAAAGGAGCGAGGCGAUCGAUAUCAAACCCCCGACAGCAACACACGUCUGUGUGUGUGUGUGUGUGUGUGUGUGUGUGUGUGUGUGUGCGUGUGUGUGUGUGCGUGUGUGUGUUAACACCGACGACAGCUUUUUAUCGGCUCAGUCAAGGUCGCUGGUCUCCAUUCAGUUUUUACAUUAAUUCAGCUCUGCACAUUUACAACAUUUAGGAGGUUUAAAUGUAUAUAAGUACAUAUGUAAGUAUGUAUUUGUACAGCGUUUAAUCACUUGAUUAGUUUAAAAUCUAGAAAUUCAUGGGAAAAAAUGACAAAACAUAGUAGGUAAAAAAAUGUAUAUUUUUAAAAUGCAAAACAUAGAAAAAAGUAGACAAAUAUUAUGAAAAAAAUGUUUUUAAAAAACAUUCAAAAUACGUUGUGUCUAAAAAAUGUCAUGGAAAAAGAAUAUCAUAAAGAUUAGGUCCUCGUAUUCGUAAGUAUUUGGCAAACAAAAGUCAAAAUAUGUAAGGUGGAAAAGAAAGUUUACUGUCGAAAAAUACAGGAAUAAAUUUAUAUCUCUGCUGAAAACGGCAAAGUAGCAUUUAUGAUUAAUGUGAUUCGGGUGCGUUUUCUUUGGGAAGGUUUGACUCAUUUUCAAAGAGACACGUUGUGAUUUUAGACUCUCGUGUUUCGAACGGUUCGUGGCUGCAUUAUAUUUGUUCGUGAUAAGUACAGAAUUGUUGGGUUGGAACUCGGUUCCGGCUCUGUUCUUAAACCUCGGGCGCAAAGUGUUUAAAAUAAAUAAAAAACUGUAUUUAUUAUUUACUUUUAUUCAUCACGACAAGAGAGAGCAAGAAAAGCCCUCGUAAAAUAACAAAAUAAAAGCCUCGAUCCAAAACGUUGAAAAACGUAUGAGAUAUUGGUGGAAAACCAAUAAAACACAAGUGAAAUGUCCACUUGAGGAACGGGGGAAGCAAUGAGGACAUUUAAUUGUCUGUUGGGAUGGAAACCCACUGG
ensembl:lncRNA